CGUACACUCCUACGGGAGGCAGCAGUGGGGAAUAUUGGACAAUGGGCGCAAGCCUGAUCCAGCCAUGCCGCGUGAGUGAUGAAGGCCCUAGGGUUGUAAAGCUCUUUCACCGGUGAAGAUAAUGACGGUAACCGGAGAAGAAGCCCCGGCUAACUUCGUGCCAGCAGCCGCGGUAAUACGAAGGGGGCUAGCGUUGUUCGGAUUUACUGGGCGUAAAGCGCACGUAGGCGGACUAUUAAGUCAGGGGUGAAAUCCCGGGGCUCAACCCCGGAACUGCCUUUGAUACUGGUAGUCUUGAGUUCGAGAGAGGUGAGUGGAAUUCCGAGUGUAGAGGUGAAAUUCGUAGAUAUUCGGAGGAACACCAGUGGCGAAGGCGGCUCACUGGCUCGAUACUGACGCUGAGGUGCGAAAGCGUGGGGAGCAAACAGGAUUAGAUACCCGUGUAGUCCC
rnacentral:rRNA from 1 species